UAAAAAGUUCAAGAGUGCACUUUAUUGUGGCUCUAAACCUUUUCAAUAUACCUUUCACCCUUUUUUAAACCCAAAGCUGUUAUGUGUACCUGUUAUUUUAUAAUGGGUAUAGCAUCUCAGUAGUACGCAUCAUGUGAAUUUUAUUCACAAGUUGCAUUACCCCC
rnacentral:misc_RNA from 1 species